rnacentral:lncRNA from 1 species
CGCCUACUUUUGGAGCUCUUUAGUAUGAAGAUAAGAAAAAUAUACGAAAUUACGGAACUGUGUACCCUGUUUUAUCCUUGUUGUUGGUGUUUCUUGCGCAUGCGCACAAAGCACGGUGAUAGUUACGGUUACUGACUCAGGAACCUUGUAUAUUAUAUACCUCGGUUUACAGACGUUUAAUAAACUGGAUCCCUGUUGUGUUCACUUAUCGAUACACUACGAUGGAAUUACGGACCAGUUUAACAUAAACAUGGUAAAUAGAUAGACAGCUGAUAAUCAUAAUUGAUUAAGAAAUAACCUGGAAGAAGAAAUGAGUUAACUAUUGAUUAUAACAGAGACGAGAAUGCCAUCGUGUUGGUUCUGCUAAAAAAAGCAGGAACAUUGGAGUUUAUGGUUAGCUGGUUAGAUUUUAAAUAUUUAUUGUCUCCAAACUGGGUAAAUUUGAUAUAGUAACAACCCCCCCCUUUUUUUUUUAAAUAACUCGAGAACCACACAUCGCGCUCGCUUAACAAAGUAACAAUAAGAAAUAAUUAUUGUUAGUUUCAAGAAUAAUUAAUCGUCAAAACUUAUCCCCUCCCCGACAUCAAAGGAAGUUAAAUGUAUUAUCCCAAAAUUAGACCAAAUUAUUAUGAUAUAUAAGGACGUCUUGACAGGCUAUUAUUUUAUUUUGUUUUGUUGGUGUUUUUUUUUUUUUGCUUUGACGUCUUCCUCCUGUAUGAAAAAAACAUAAUAGACCCCCCCCCCCUUUUUCCCCAUAAUAUAGCUUUUUAAGAAGUCAUAAUUAUUUGGACUACCCCUGAAUAUAUUUCAGACAGACUCUUCUCUAAAAAAAUGUAAACAUGAUUUGAGAGAAAUCUUUGGAAUAGUUUUUUAAAUGAUUUAAUUAUUAUAUGUCAUGUAUAUAAUUAACAUAGUUAUAAACUGAGACUACUAGUAUAACACAUAGUGUUAUAGUAGUCUCAGCUAUAAACUUUCCAUUGUAUUGACCAAUAUGACUAACUCAUAUGCUCUUUCCCAUAAAUGUCACAAUAUCAAUAUAUUACAGUAAAACUGAUAGUUUGAUGACAUUGUUUAAGACUAUUGACCUCAGGUCAGCCUAAACUGAGUUUAAAACUUGUAAUUUAUUCAUUAAAACAGUUCAAGACAUGUACCUUCUGAAAUGUGAUUGCAUCAAAAUUAAACCUAAGGCAUAACAUACUUAGUGUGCAGGAAGUGCCACCAAAUAAAUACUGAUUUGUAAAAUUAGAUGAUGAUAUUUGUGAAGUCAAAGAUAUUAUAGCUAGUUAUAACUGGUUUUAGAUAUAAAUCUGAGUAAAAGGUUGAUUUAUAUGUGCUCUUUCAUGUUUAGAUUAUAAUUUAAAUUUAAUCUUUUGAAGUUUUUUUUAUAAUAUUAAGACAUUAAAAUCACAAUUAUUUAUUUAUACACAAAAAAAUAAUUUUUGUCCUUUUUUAGUUGAAUGACUGUACACAAACAUUAUACACACAUAAUUUUGAUAAUUCUGUAAUGUUUUUUUUCUAUAGCCCCAGAAUGUGACAAAAGACUUAUUAAUCCAGAUUUACAAAAAAUAGAAAUAGUUCAGCUACCAUAAGACUGCUAUGACAAAAAUUGUGCAGUUUCCAGAAUUUGAGGUAGAGUAUAGUUAGGAAUAGUUUGAUUAUGCAGAUGCUUAGUUUGCCAUAAACAAUUAUGCCCUUGAUACAAAAGCAGAGGAAACAAAAAAGUAUGAAAAUAGUUGAAAAAAGUAAUCAUUAUUACCUAGUCAUAUACUGUAAAUAGAAAAAGAGAAAAGCACUGGUUAUGAUUUGGUAUUUUUAAUAGCAUUAUCAUUUGUCCAUAACUUGGAAUAUAUACUGGAUUGAGCUUGACAUUUAUUUAAUAUCAUUGACACAUGGUUGCAAGAAAUGAAAGAUGGUAAUUUAAACCUAGCAAUUUUAUUAAGAUUUAAAAAAAAAGCUUUUGAUUUGGUAGAAUAUGACUUUCUUUGUUUAAAGCUCGACAUGUAUGGAUUUAGUGAGACUACUGUUAGUUUUUUUAAGUCGUACCUGAAUAACAAAAGGUAUACAUUUGUAAUGUUAACUCUGAACAACAACAUGUAAAAUUUGGUGUUCCCCAAUGUUCUAUACCUUGUCCUCUAUUGUUUGUGCUAUUUAUAAAUGACCUUCCCUUAUGCAUUAAAAAUUGUGAAACAGACCUAUAUCGUUGUAUAUGCUGAUGACACCACUAUUCAUAAAUCAGGGGGAAACAUCUAGAAAAUAUAAAUGAUGAUGUUCAAGAAGAUUUAUACAGGGUUGAAGAGUGGUGUAAAAUGAAUAACAUGUUCAUAGAUGCAAAUGAAACAAAAUGUUUGAUUACUGGAACAAAGCAGAAACUAUUCAGACUUUUCAACCAAACUUGAUAAUAAAUUAAAGUAUUACAAAAUUCUUCAUGUGAAAAAAUAUUAGUUUCAAAAUUGACAGCCCACUAAGUAACUGGAGAAAUCAAAUUGACCAAGGUUGUGCUAAUAUAUCAUCCAGAAUAUACCCAUCUUUCUUAAAUACAUUUUUUUUUAUAUAACUGCAAGAAAACAUAAUACAAUGGGUGUUCUGCCCCUAAUUGACUACUGUUGUAUUAUUUGGGAUGAAUGUAAAAAUUGAGGGAUAACAAGAAUUUUAAAAAUCCAAAAAAAGGGCAGCAUGAUAAAUUCUAGAUGCAGAUCCGUUAUCCCUCUUGGUAUAUAGGAGCACUAUAUUCUAUGUUAACCUCCGACAGUAGGUAUAAACAAAUACUGUUGAUAGACGGUAUAUAGGAGCACUAUAUUCCAUGUUAACCACUGACGGUAGGUAUAGCCAAAUACUGUUGAUAGACGGUAUAUAGGAGCACUAUAUCUUAUGUUAACCACCGACGGUAGGUAUAGACAAAUACUGGUGAUAGACGGUAUAUAGGAGCACUAUAUUGUAUGUUAACCACCGACGGUAGGUAUAGACAAAUACUGUUGAUAGACGGUAUAUAGGAGCACUAUAUUGUAUGUUAACUACCGACGGUAGGUAUAGACAAAUACUGUUGAUAGACGGUAUAUAGGAGCACUAUAUUGUAUGUUAACCACCGACGGUAGGUAUAGACAAAUACUGUUGAUAGACGGUAUAUAGGAGCACUAUAUUGUAUGUUAACUACCGACAGGUAGGUAUAGACAAAUACUGUUGAUAGACGGUAUAUAGGAGCACUAUAUUGUAUGUUAACCACCGACGGUAGGUAUAGACAAAUACUGUUGAUAGACGGUAUAUAUACAUUGUAGGAGCACUAUAUUGUAUGUUAACCACCGACGGUAGGUAUAGACAAAUACUGUUGAUAGACGGUAUAUAGGAGCACUAUAUUGUAUGUUAACUACCGACAGGUAGGUAUAGACAAAUACUGUUGAUAGACGGUAUAUAGGAGCACUAUAUUGUAUGUUAACUACCGACAGGUAGGUAUAGACAAAUACUGUUGAUAGACGGUAUAUAGGAGCACUAUAUUGUAUGUUAACUACCGACAGUAGGUAUAGACAAAUACUGUUGAUAGACGGUAUAUAGGAGCACUAUAUUGUAUGUUAACCACCGACGGUAGGUAUAGACAAAUACUGUUGAUAGACGGUAUAUAGGAGCACUAUAUUGUAUGUUAACUACCGACGGUAGGUAUAGACAAAUACUGUUGAUAGACGGUAUAUAGGAGCACUAUAUUGUAUGUUAACCACCGACGGUAGGUAUAGACAAAUACUGUUGAUAGACGGUAUAUAGGAGCACUAUAUUGUAUGUUAACUACCGACAGGUAGGUAUAGACAAAUACUGUUGAUAGACGGUAUAUAGGAGCACUAUAUUGUAUGUUAACUACCGACGGUAGGUAUAUAGACAAAUACUGUUGAUAGACGGUAUAUAGGAGCACUAUAUUGUAUGUUAACCACCGACGGUAGGUAUAGACAAAUACUGUUGAUAGACGGUAUAUAGGAGCACUAUAUUGUAUGUUAACUACCGACAGUAGGUAUAGACAAAUACUGUUGAUAGACGGUAUAUAGGAGCACUAUAUUGUAUGUUAACCACCGACGGUAGGUAUAGACAAAUACUGUUGAUAGACGGUAUAUAGGAGCACUAUAUUGUAUGUUAACCACCGACGGUAGGUAUAGACAAAUACUGUUGAUAGACGGUAUAUAGGAGCACUAUAUUGUAUGUUAACCACCGACGGUAGGUAUAGACAAAUACUGUUGAUAGUAUAUAGGAGCACUAUAUUGUAUGUUAACUACCGACGGUAGGUAUAGACAAAUACUGACAAUAGACGGUAUAUAGGAGCAUUAUAUUGCAUGUUAACCACCGACGGUAAGUAUAGACAAAUACUGUUGAUAGACGGUGUAAAGGAGUACUAAUUCGUAUGUUAACCACCGACGGUAGGUAUAGACAAAUACUGUUGAUAUACGGUGAAUAGGAGUACUGUAUUGCAUGUUAACUACCGACGGUAGGUAUAGACAAUACUGUUUAUAGACCUAUAUGUAUGUUAACAUAUUUAUAGAUGUAACAUAUGUAUAUUGAUAAAUCUGUAUAAUUUUAGAUGUUAUUUACCAUGAAUUUAUUUACCCAAGUUGUGGAAACGUUUAAUAAAUACCGUUAAUUCACCAUUAAAAUGUUAUAUUGUCGUAAGUAAUGAACUUGAAGGAAGGAAAAAUACGACAAAAGUAUACGUUUUCAAUAAAUAUUAUAUCAAAACUUUAAUACGGUUAUAGAUGGUCAUAUAUCUGUAUGUAAAAUUUAUCCUAAUACAAAUAUAUCCGACACUUGGUAAAUAAAACCAUAUUUACUUGAUAAUUUGAAUUGAUGUAUUAACUUGACACGUAAUUGUCGAUACAACCAUUGUAUUAUAUAACCCGAUUUGAAAUAUUAUUUACCAAGUCAUUUGAAGUAAAAUGUACUAUAAAUGACGUGUAUAAUACGGUUGCAUGAAUUCAAUGAUAUUAUGAAACUGUAUAAGUAGUUACUGUUUAUGACAACAUACCGUAUAUAAAUACCACGAUAAAGUAUCUGUAUAGUACACAUAUAUUGAGGUAUGACAAAUUUUGUGUAACUACCGUUUGUUAUACGUACGGGAUUACUGUAUGUUAGCAAUUGUAUAUGAAUACUGUUGAUCUAACUACAUUGGGUAUAUUGAUUGUAUAUAACUGUACUUGAAGACUGUGUAUAUGGGUAUAGACUAAAUACUACGUAUGGUAUAGACAUACUAUACUGUUAGUAUAUUGACAUAGUUAAUAUGUAUUGAUAGACGAUGAUAUGUAUAGACAUAUAGGACACUAUACGACAGUGUUAUGUAGUACAUAUAGGUACAAAUAGAUAUACUAAAUAUGACUAUAGAUAACAUAUAUGAUACACUAGAAAUAUACACUAUAUAGGUAUAUGUUGUGUUAUACUCCACCGACGGUAGGUAUAGACAAAUACUGUUGAUAGACGGUAUAAAGGAGCUUUAUUGUAUGUUAACCACCGACGGUAGGUAUAGACAAAUACUGUUGAUAGACGGUAUAUAGGAGCACUAUAUUGUAUGUUAACCACCGACGGUAGGUAUAGACAAAUACUGUUGAUAGACGGUAUAUAGGAGCACUAUAUUGUAUGUUAACCACCGACGGUAGGUAUAGACAAAUACUGUUGAUAGACGGUAUAUAGGAGCACUAUAUGUAUGUUAACCACCGACAGUAGGUAUAGACAAAUACUGUUGAUAGACGUAUAUAGGAGCACUAUAUAUGUAUGUUAACUACCGACGGUAGGUAUAGACAAAUACUGUUGAUAGACGGUAUAUAGGAGCACUAUAUUGUAUGUUAACCACCGACAGUAGGUAUAGACAAAUACUGUUGAUAGACGGUAUAUAGGAGCACUAUAUUGUAUGUUAACCACCGACGGUAGGUAUAGACAAAUACUGUUGAUAGACGGUAUAUAGGAGCACUAUAUUGUAUGUUAACCACCGACGGUAGGUAUAGACAAAUACUGUUGAUAGACGGUAUAUAGGAGCACUAUAUUGUAUGUUAACCACCGACGGUAGGUAUAGACAAAUACUGUUGAUGGACGGUGCAAAGGAGUACUAUAUCGUAUGUUAACCACUGACGGUAGGUAUAGACAAAUACUGUUGAUAGACGGUAUAUAGGAGGACUGUAUUGUAUGUUAACCACCGACGGUAGGUAUAGACAAAUACUGUUGAUAUACGGUAUAUAGGAGUAUUGUAUUUUAUGUCAAACAUCGACGAUAGGUAUGGACAAAAUCCGACAAAUACUGUAUACAGACAGUGUAUAGAAGUACUGUAUUGUAUGGUAAACACUGACGGUUGGUAUGGACAAUUUCUGUAUCAUGCAUCAAUUGUAAAUAAAAGUAUCAUGUGAGUGACACAGGCUCAUUGAAGCCUCUAGUUUUGAUAUUAUUAAUGUGGAGAUCUGGUCUAAUUUAUCAUUUUCUCUAUUACAUGCAUGAUAACUGCAACAAUUGAAUUGAAAUAAAAGUGAUAAUAUUUUCUGUUGUAGGUUAUCAAGAUUUAGUGUUUCCAUACAAGUGACAAAGAUUGAACAACAAAAACAUCUCAAACUUUACAGGACAGAGUAGACUUUUUUCACUGUGCUUAGUUUUGUCUUUAUGUCUAAAUUAUGAUACCUUUAAAAAAACCAAUAAAAU